UACGGGGGGGGCAAGCGUUGUUCGGAAUUACUGGGCGUAAAGGGCUCGUAGGUGGCCAACUAAGUCAGACGUGAAAUCCCUCGGCUUAACCGGGGAACUGCGUCUGAUACUGGAUGGCUUGAGUUUGGGAGAGGGACGCGGAAUUCCAGGUGUAGCGGUGAAAUGCGUAGAUAUCUGGAGGAACACCGGUGGCGAAGGCGGCGUCCUGGACCAACACGUGACACUGAUGAGCGAAAGCCAGGGGAGCAAACGGG
rnacentral:rRNA from 1 species